UACGGGGGGGGGCAAGCGUUGUUCGGAAUUACUGGGCGUAAAGGGCUCGUAGGCGGCCAACUAAGUCAGACGUGAAAUCCCUCGGCUUAACCGGGGAACUGCAUCUGAUACUGGAUGGCUUGAGUUCGGGAGAGGGAGUGCGGAAUUCCAGGUGUAGGCGGUGAAAUGCGUAGAUAUCUGGAGGAACACCGGUGGCGAAGGCGGCAUCCUGGACCGACGACUGACGCUGAGGAGCGAAAGCCAGGGGAGCAAAGCGGG
rnacentral:rRNA from 1 species